rnacentral:rRNA from 1 species
CGGAGGAUCCAAGCGUUAUCCGGAAUCAUUGGGUUUAAAGGGUCCGUAGCGGGUUUAUAAGUCAGUGGUGAAAGCCCAUCGCUCAACGAUGGAACGGCCAUUGAUACUGUAGAUCUUGAAUUAUUAGGAAGUAACUAGAAUAUGUAGUGUAGCGGUGAAAUGCUUAGAGAUUACAUGGAAUACCAAUUGCGAAGGCAGGUUACUACUAAUGGAUUGACGCUGAUGGACGAAAGCGUGGGUAGCGAACAGGAUUAGAUACCCUGGUAGUCCACGCCGUAAACGAUGGAUACUAGCUGUUCGGAGCAAUCUGAGUGGCUAAGCGAAAGUGAUAAGUAUCCCACCUGGGGAGUACGUUCGCAAGAAUG